UGUGAUGCGAUUUUUGAGACAAAUUGUUGAAGAAGGUGAAAUUAUCGAAAGAGAUUCACUACGAUCUAUAUUCACACAAGCAGAGUAUUCUCGAAAAGAAAUUGAUGAGGUGCGAUCGGAGUUGGCAGAAUGUAUACAAGAUCAUAUUUAUGAGUAGUUUUGCUUCCAUUGUCCACAGAGAAAUAGUAACAAGAUGUGUUUAUUACAACUAUUUGAACUUGGCGUCAUGGAUCUUAUUCAACCAUUACUCACAAGGUGGAUAUAGGACAGUCGAGAUCAGUACACUAAGGAGCAUCUGG